UGACAUCAUCGCAGGUCCUGUAAGACAGAAGAAUGUAUGUGUGUACAUAUAAAUAUCUAAACACAGAAGGAAUAUAUAACCCAGCUCGAUCAUAUGACCUACAGGUUUCUCCAAUCCAGGAUCCUCUGCUGAUAUCUUCUAUAUAAGAGAAUUCUCCUGGAUGACCCAUCAACCAUGGAGAGAGACAGGAACAAGAUGGCCGACAGGAUCAUAAACCUCACCCUACAGAUACUCUUCCGGCUUACUGGAGAGGAUUACACAGUAGUGAAGAAGUCCUCUAGUGGGCGCUGUCGGGCCCCUGUGUGUGAAGGAUGGGGAAGAACCCUGAGCCCAAUCCCGGGGCCCCCACCUC